rnacentral:lncRNA from 12 species
UUGUCGUUCAGGGAAUUGAGGAACUGUUUCUCCAUUCCUUCUGCAAAAUAUCAGAGUCUGAAAAAUCAUUCUUACCCAGGGGCCUGGGUGGCGCGGUGGGUUCAGCGUCUGCCUUCGCCUCGGUCACCAUCUGGGGGGCCUGAGCUCCAGCGCCUUCCCCCGGGUCACCGUCUGGAGAGCCUGAGGUCCAGCGCCUUCGCCCCCCCGCCCCCGUCACCAUCUGGGGCGCCUGAGGUCCAGCGCCUUCGCCCCGGGUCACCGUCUGGGGGGGGCCUGAGGUCCAGCGCCUUCACCCCGGGUCACCGUCUGGGGGGCCUGAGGUCCAGCGCCUUCGCCCCGGGUCACCGUCUGGGGGGCCUGAGGUCCAGCGCCAUCACCCCGGGUCACCGUCUGGGGCGCCUGAGGUCCAGCGCCAUCGCCCCGGGUCACCGUCUGGGGGGCCUGAGGUCCAGCGCCUUCGCCCCGGGUCACCGUCUGGGGGGGCCUAAGGUCCAGCGCCUUCACCCCGGGUCACCGUCUGGGGGGGCCUGAGGUCCAGCGCCAUCACCCCGGGUCACCGUCUGGGGGGCCUGAGGUCCAGCGCCUUCCCCCCGGGUCACCGUCUGGGGGGCCUGAGGUCCAGCGCCGAGGCUCCGGCUCAGCCGCGGGGGAGUCGGCUUCUCCCCUGCUCUUCCCCUGCUCGUCCUCUUCCCUGUCACUCCCUCUCUCUCUCCAGGUAAUGAAGUCUUAGAAACUUCUGGCCCAGGUGAAGGCGCUUUUGCUCACGUCGGGCUGGGGCUGCGGGGUGGCGCCACCCAGCUGGGGAGCAAAGGAGUCUGCGGGCGGAGGGGCCCGAGGACCCGGGGAGGGGGGAGGGGGCCUCGCUGCCUCCUGGUGGGAUCUGGCGGGUGGAGGAAUCAUAAAGGAUCCCUCACUGGUCUAUUUUUUAACGGGGGAGGGGGGGACCCAGGAAACAGGUUAUCUGAUUCGGGCGAAAUUGCCAGCCUGUGCGCCCUUUGCGCCCACCCCGAACCUGGGACCCGGGCGCCGUGGGGGUGGGGGGCCCAGCUAGCGCUGGGGGAGCCGCCUCGCCUCAAGGCCCCUCUUUCCACUUGCUGAGGGCUGGGAAUGUACUUUUUAAAGGUCACCCGCAGUCCCUGGGCGGCAUCAGAGGUGCCUUUUCCGCCUCCGUCCUUGACACCUGUGAGCACUUGGCUCCACCGCUCAGAGCAGCGGGCAGGCAGGCGGGAACCACGGCGGUUCUAGCGGUUUCCUGCGGAAAUGUGAGGCGGGUAGCUGAUUCCCGGCUCUCUCCCAGCUGGUGCAUCAGGUAAAUUACAUCUUCUAAAGCCAAAAGUGUUGUGAAGUGGCCAUCUCUUCCAGCACUUUCUUUGUACAACAGCACUCCUCCUGCUGUUGUCUUGUAGGGUGCUAGCCUGGGGUGCUUCCCCAUCCACUGUGGUCUCCCUUUCUACCUGCCCACGCCCACCCUUUGUAGCUGGGCAGCGGGUCCCGCCACCUUCUCAAUUACCACUUGGGAGCGUGCCUUUGU